rnacentral:hammerhead_ribozyme from 1 species
GUACAGCUGACGGGUCCCAAAUAGGACGAGAUGCGCGUCCUUGAC